AACGAACGCUGGCGGCAGGCUUAACACAUGCAAGUCGAACGCCCCGCAAGGGGAGUGGCAGACGGGUGAGUAACGCGUGGGAAUCUACCCAGUUCUACGGAACAACUGAGGGAAACUUCAGCUAAUACCGUAUACGCCCUACGGGGGAAAGAUUUAUCGGAGAUGGAUGAGCCCGCGUUGGAUUAGCUAGUUGGUGGGGUAAUGGCCUACCAAGGCGACGAUCCAUAGCUGGUCUGAGAGGAUGAUCAGCCACACUGGGACUGAGACACGGCCCAGACUCCUACGGGAGGCAGCAGUGGGGAAUAUUGGACAAUGGGCGAAAGCCUGAUCCAGCCAUGCCGCGUGAGUGAUGAAGGCCCUAGGGUUGUAAAGCUCUUUCACCGGUGAAGAUAAUGACGGUAACCGGAGAAGAAGCCCCGGCUAACUUCGUGCCAGCCGCCGCCGUAACAC
rnacentral:rRNA from 1 species